GCCGGUUUGGCUCAGUGGCGAGAGCGUCGGCCUGCAGACUGAAGGGUCCCAGGUUCAAUUCCUGGUUAGGGCA
rfam:Myotis brandtii contig310799, whole genome shotgun sequence.